CUGUAACUCCAGGAGUAAUCCAGGAGCUCUCUACACCUGGUAUAAGGACAGUGUGAACUCAGCAGCUAACAAGGGGACAGGGAACAUCCUGACCAUUCGCUCCAUCACCCCAACGGAAUCUGGAGAUUAUUACUGCAAAGCGGAAAACGUUAUUGGAAGACAAACUUCAAAGAGCUUCAGGAUUGAGGUGCUCUAUGCCCCUCGGAAUGUGAAGGUGUCGAUCUCUCCAUCGGACAGUGCGAUACACGAAGGUGACAACAUCACCCUGAGCUGUACCAGCGACAGUAACCCCCCAACCAGCUGGUACAAGUGGGUACGGAGACAGGGAGAGGAGACUGAGCCUCUGGAAUCAUCUGAGAGAGACCUGACCUUGUACAGAAUCACUCCCAAACAGGAGGGUGUGUACUCCUGUGAGGCGGGGAACACUGUUGGUGCCAACAGGUCGGACGGUCGCAGGAUAGCGUUUGGGAAUAACAGAGGAGAGAGUCUGCAUGUGAUCCUGAUCCUGGGAAUACGAGCUGGGAUAUUCAUUGUAGCUGUUGUUCUCACUGUUGCUGGUGUUUGUGUCUGUGAGGGGCAAACUGUUAAAGGAAGCUGAAACGCUGCUUCAAACUUUAUCAGUGCAACCGAAUCCCAUGGGAUGUUGGGUUAAGGGCACUGGUUUGGAUUGUCUGAGAGCCAUAGAAUUCUCAGGGAGCCAUUCAGUCCAUUGAGCUAUGCCAGCCCUCUCUGUACAGUAAUGCAGUCAGUGCCAUUUCCCCACUCUCUCCUCAUUGUUCUGAGAGUUUAUUUCCCACAAAUAUUCAUCCAAAUUCUGUUUGAAAUCAGUGAGCAUCUUCCCUUCCACACCACCUUGUAGGCAGUGAGAUCCAGAUUAUUAUCACUCACAGUGUAUAACAGUCCUUCCUCACAACCCCUGCUCUGUCUAUCCCACCCCGAAUCUUCAAUAUGUCUCCCCUGAUCCUUGUACAUUCAGCAAAAGGGAACAGUUUUCCUUUGUCUCCCUGAUCUAAACCUGGCCCCAUCUCUUCCUCAUCAGUCAGAUUCACCCCCAGUCACCGUUGCUCUGAGAGGAACAGUCCCAGCUUCCCCAAAUGCAUCCUGUCACUGAAAUCCCUGCUCAUUGGAACUGUUCAGGGAAAUCCCCUCCAUAUCCUCUCAGACUCUCACAUCCUUCCUGAAG